GACGAACGCUGGCGGCGCGCUUAACACAUGCAAGUCGAACGGAAAGGCCUGCUUUCCCUUGUGGAUUGCGGGUACUCGAGUGGCGAACGGGUGAGUAACACGUGAGUGAUCUGCCCCCAACUUGGGUAUAAGCCUGGGAAACUGGGUCUAAUUCCCGAUAGGACUGCAGGGUGGUGCCUGUGGUGGAAAACGAUUUUCUAGUGGUUGGGGAUGAGCUCGCGGCCUAUCAGCUUGUUGGUGGGGUAAUGGCCUACCAAGGCGGCGACGGGUAGCCGGCCUGAGAGGGUGGACGGCCACAUUGGGACUGAGAUACGGCCCAGACUCCUACGGGAGGCAGCAGUGGGGAAUAAUGCACAAUGGGCGGAAGCCUGAUGCAGCGACGCCGCGUGGGGGAUGACGGCCUUCGGGUUGUAAACUCCUUUCGACCGCGAGGAAGCCACCUGGUUGGAAGGGUGGUGACGGUAGUGGUAGAAGAAGCACCGGCUAACUACGUG
rnacentral:rRNA from 1 species